ACUACUUAGGAGAAAUAAGCCUAAAUGCACAGAUAGUCUUGACGUUGUACUGCAAAGCUAUUGUGAUGUAACCCACUGUGACCAUUUAGUCACUUCAUAGAGUACUUUGCUGGGACUGAGGCUUGUGCUCAAACACUGAUGAGCCUUUCUGCUUACCUAACUACUGGCCUUGAGGUUACUAAAAUAAAUAACCUGUUAGCCCUGCAUCCACAGAUAUAGAAACUUUCUCCCAGUUUAC
rnacentral:lncRNA from 1 species